ACUUCUGUGUAAAUGUUGAAAUCUGUGUUGUCUGUCAGGAGCAGUCAAUCUGAAAACUUUGCUGAAGAGAAUUAUAUUUAGUAACGGGUGACAAAGAGAAGAAGACAUUGAGAUGUCAAUUAUUCUGGGGACAUUUGGCACUGCUUGUAUUACUGAGAGGAGAAGAGUGUUACUGGCUUCCAAGAAUACUUCUAAACAUUCUACAAAUCAAAGGGCUCCUCCCACAAUGAAGAAUGGUCUGGCC
rnacentral:lncRNA from 1 species